rnacentral:rRNA from 1 species
CCUACGGGUGGCUGCAGUGGGGAAUAUUGGGCAAUGGGCGCAAGCCUGACCCAGCAACGCCGCGUGCAGGAAGAAGGCUUUCGGGUUGUAAACUUCUUUUCUGAGGGACGAAGAAAGUGACGGUACCUCAGGUAUAAGCCACGGCUAACUACGUGCCAGCAGCCGCGGUAAUACGUAGGGGGCAAGCGUUAUCCGGAUUUAUUGGGUGUAAAGGGCGUGUAGGCGGGAAGGCAAGUCAGAUGUGAAAACUCAGGGCUCAACCCUGGGCGUGCAUUUGAAACUGUUUUUCUUGAGUGCUGGGAAGGCAAGCGGAAUUCCGUGUGUAGCGGUGAAAUGCGUAGAUAUACGGAGGAACACCGGUGGCGAAGGCAGAUUGCUGGACAGUAACUGACGCUGAGGCGCGAAAGCGUGGGGAGCAAACAGGAUUAGAUACCCCUGUAGUC